rnacentral:rRNA from 1 species
GACGAACGCUGGCGGCGUGCCUAAUACAUGCAAGUCGAGCGCAGGAAAUCGACGGAACCCUUCGGGGGGAAGUCGAUGGAAUGAGCGGCGGACGGGUGAGUAACACGUAAAGAACCUGCCCUCAGGUCUGGGAUAACCACGAGAAAUCGGGGCUAAUACCGGAUGGGUCAUCGGACCGCAUGGUCCGAGGAUGAAAGGCGCUUCGGCGUCGCCUGGGGAUGGCUUUGCGGUGCAUUAGCUAGUUGGUGGGGUAAUGGCCCACCAAGGCGACGACGCAUAGCCGACCUGAGAGGGUGAUCGGCCACACUGGGACUGAGACACGGCCCAGACUCCUACGGGAGGCAGCAGUAGGGAAGCUUCCACAAUGGACGAAGGUCUGAUGGAGCAACGCCGCGUGAACGAUGAAGGCCUUCGGGUCGUAAAGUUCUGUUGUAAGGGAAGAACAAGUGCCGCAGGCAAUGGCGGCACCUUGACGGUACCUUGCGAGAAAGCCACGGCUAACUACGUGCCAGCCGCCGCCGUAA